GCGGGUAUAGCUCAGUUGGUUAGAGCACCGGUCUCAUAAGCCGGGGGUCCCGAGUUCAAGUCUCGGUACCCGCA
rnacentral:tRNA from 1 species